rnacentral:rRNA from 1 species
AUUGAACGCUGGCGGCAGGCCUAACACAUGCAAGUCGAGCGGAUGAAGGGAGCUUGCUCCUGGAUUCAGCGGCGGACGGGUGAGUAAUGCCUAGGAAUCUGCCUGGUAGUGGGGGAUAACGUCCGGAAACGGGCGCUAAUACCGCAUACGUCCUGAGGGAGAAAGUGGGGGAUCUUCGGACCUCACGCUAUCAGAUGAGCCUAGGUCGGAUUAGCUAGUUGGUGGGGUAAAGGCCUACCAAGGCGACGAUCCGUAACUGGUCUGAGAGGAUGAUCAGUCACACUGGAACUGAGACACGGUCCAGACUCCUACGGGAGGCAGCAGUGGGGAAUAUUGGACAAUGGGCGAAAGCCUGAUCCAGCCAUGCCGCGUGUGUGAUGAAGGUCUUCGGAUUGUAAAGCACUGUUAGUUGGGAAGAAGAGAAGUAAGUUAAUACCUUGCUGUUUUGACGUUACCAACAGAGUAAGCACCGGCUAACUUCGUG